rnacentral:pre_miRNA from 1 species
GAUGAGAUAGUUGGGUCAUAUGGUAGUUCUAGUCCUAAUUUUUUGAGGAAUCUCCAUACUACUUUCCAGAGUGGUUGCACUAACUUGCAGUCCCAUGAACAAU